rnacentral:lncRNA from 1 species
CUAUAGCUCUGGAGUUUUUGUAGAUUUUCAAAUAAAACUCAGAGAUUCCUUUGUAUGACUCUCUCAGAUCUCUCUUUUGUGGUAUUUCUAGAUCCUUACCAAGGCAGUGAUGGUAUAUGCUUUCUCUCAAAGUAUGUGAUAUUUUUUGGUAUGAGGCAUAGUGACAUUACCUUCUCUCUCACCCUACUCUAAUAAGGUUUUGAUAUCUGGAGCUCAUAGGUGGGAGAUAGAGUAUACAUACUUACAAGACAUUUAUUGCAUAGUCAAACCAUGGAUCUAGAGAAACAAGUCAAUAAGUCAAAUCAAGAUGUGCAUGUGUGGCGAGUGAAUGGUGUAUGGUGAUGAUGGUGAUAAAAUGGUGAAAGUCUAAUUCUACUUUUGCUCUUUUUAGGAGGUACAUACCUUCCUUGCACUUGAAGCUUUUGAGGAGAAUGAGAUGCUCUAUAUUUUAUUUUUCUUUUCUCUUAGGUGGGUAUCUUGUACCCCUGAUUCUACUGUCAGACACUUGUCCAUUUUUACCUCUCGUCUCACUUUUUUCGAGGUUUCGGGCACUUGCCCCUUUUUAUUUCCUCAUAUUUUUCCUUUUUCUUCUCUCUCUCUUUUUUAGAGCACUCACCCUCCUGGAAUAAUGUAGCAAGUGGUAGUUACCAAAAUAUCUCGAGCAUUUAUUUCAUAGGAAAAACAGGAAUGUGAUAAUGGUUUUGGCUAUUCUCUCCCGGAUAGGAGUAGAAUAAUUUUAGGUGAAUCUGGAGAUGGAAUUGAGUGGAUGUAUAUGGAUUCGUACUUUCGGAGUAGAAGUAGCAUGUAUGAGUGAACGUGCAAGUGAAUCUUUGAUUUUAACCGCAUGACAAGCUCCUGAGGGUCUACACAGCUUGACCACACUCAAUGCUCAUAAGCAGUAAGAAGUAAAUGUAUGGUUCAUAGUCUAAUAAACACGUAUAUAUGGCUGUGGUAGGAUUUUAAACUAUCAUCAUACAGGAACUCAUCAUGCAACAUUUUAAAGAUUUUCAAAGAUAAAAUUCUUCAGAAUUCUAGCAUCUCUAGGAACAGAUAAACAACAGCUCAACCUUCCCAUAUCAUAUCCGUUAAUGACUUGGACUUUAGAUCAAGUACUCUUCCCACAAGUUCACAUUUAGAGCAAAUCUUAAUUCAUAAAAGUCAUGCCUAAACUUGAGAGAGAUUUCAAUUUUGAGAACUAGUCAUGGCAGAGCAACUAUUCAUCAUUUCCAUGUGAGAGCUUAUCAUGAGGGUUCAUAGCAAACUUUAUUUAUUUAUUUAUUUAGCAAACUAAGCAAAGAUAUAUAUAUAUAUAUAUAAGCACAAAAUCUUUAUUUGGGUUUUUAUGAUUAUGCAUCUUUUUAUUAAUUGAGUAAAGUAUAAACGCGAGUAGAAACACUUAGCUGGAUAAAUGGGGGUGCUCUCCCCCAAGCUAGAUUUUGACGUAAUUUCUUCUGAUGUAGCUAGCAGGUGGCGGAGGUGUAUUUGAAUGUCGGCAGCACCCUGACAGCGAUUAGGAUGUCCUCCGUCUGCUAGUCUUCUUUGAUCCUUGAAUUAUGUGGAGCUCAAAUAGACAACAAAGCUUUGUGGAACUGGUUAAGUAUUAGCAUAAAAUCUCUUAGCCGUUAUCAUGUUGAGCUUUCUCUAAUAAAUAUUACUCUCUUUGGUAGGAUUAUAAAUUUAUUUUUAUAUUUUCAUUUUUAUAGGAUAGGAAUAUUUUUAUUUUUAUGCCACCACAGUGAAUGUACUUAUGGGUUUUAUGCCAUGAGCAUACUCACAUGGGGCUUACUGUUUUUAACAUUUUUAAUUUCUUUUCAAGAUAGCAUGAUUAACUAACAAGCUAUUUAAGGAAAGUAAAUAAUUUAAGGAAAAAGGGAAUGUAGAAAGGAUAAAUAUGAAUAACUACCGAUUUUACCUUUUGGUGAUGGUUCAAUGUUUUAAGUCUUUUGAACAAAACUUCUCACCGUGUUUAUUCUUUAGGUGCGUCAUUUCAUUCAGGUGUGGACCUUGACGUCUGCACCUCUUGAUACGGUGUCACCCAUGUUCUUUAUUUGUCCAGCAGUUCGAAGUGCGGCGUUGGCAGCAUCCUGCUCAGUGUGUUUGUGCUCGUAGAUCCAUGUCCUUCACUUGGUGGAGUGUGGGAGUUGUAAAACUCCUUCAUGUUUUGCUCGAAGUGUACCCGCUCAUAGAGACAAGGCAGAUAUCAAGUGCAUAGGCCCUGUUGGUGGAAAACACCAACAGAACCAAAAGUGUAUUUGUUCUUCUCUAACCUUAAGCAUAGUGAGCAUGACAAAUUGGAUGGAUAAUAAGGUCAUAAGUGUAGCAUUUAAAACAUUUGUCAGAUCAGAUCGCUCAACCUAAUGGAAAGAUAAUCUAUCUAUAUUUAUAUUUUUUUAUAUAUCUUCCAAAGAUUGAGUGUGCAACAUUUUAGCUCAUAUUAUUAGGAGUGUGGGAUCACAAAGGUGGAAGGACAAAACAUGUUGAAUUGAUUGGGUUGGUUAAUCUAGAGUUGUAAAUCAUACAUGUUUGUCUCUUUUAUUCACGUGAACGCCAGAACCAAGGAGAAGCUUAUAAAAGUGAUAGUCAAGUACCUUGUUAC